GAUGAAGAACGUAGCGAAAUGCGAUAAGUAAUGCGAAUUGCAGAAUUUCCGUGAAUCAUCGAAUCUUUGAACGCACAUUGCGCCCCUUGGUAUUCCAUGGGGCAUGCCUGUUCGAGCGUCAUCUUAACCCUCAAGCACUGCUUGGUGAUGGGCGUCUGUCCCGCCUCUGCGCGCGGACUCGCCCCAAAGGCAUUGGCAGCGGUCCCGUCCGCCUCUCGCGCAGCACAGAUGCGCUUCUUGAGGCUUCGGGCCCGCGUCCAUGAAGCUCAUUUACCACGUUUGACCUCGGAUCAGGUAGGGAUACCCGCUGAACUUAAGCAUAUCAAUAAGCGGAGGA
rnacentral:misc_RNA from 1 species